rnacentral:rRNA from 1 species
GACGAACGCUGGCGGCGUGCUUAACACAUGCAAGUCGAACGGAGAUUCAGCAAUGGAUCUUAGUGGCGAACGGGUGAGUAACGCGUGGGCAAUCUGCCCUCUAGAUGGGGACAACAUCCCGAAAGGGGUGCUAAUACCGAAUGUUGUAUGAUCUUCGCAUGGAGAUGAUACUAAAGGUGGCCUCUGAAUAUGCUACCGCUAGAAGAUGAGCCUGCGUCUGAUUAGCUAGCUGGAGGGGUAACGGCCCACCAAGGCUUCGAUCAGUAGCCGGUCUGAAAGGAUGAACGGCCACACUGGGACUGAGACACGGCCCAGACUCCUACGGGAGGCAGCAGUGGGGAAUCUUCCGCAAUGGACGAAAGUCUGACGGAGCAACGCCGCGUGAGUGAAGAAGGUUUUCGGAUCGUAAAGCUCUUUCGUUAGGGACGAACGUGCUCUUUGUGAAUAAUGAGGAGUAAUGACGGUACCUAAAUAAGAAGCCACGGCUAACUACGUGCCAGCCGCCGCCGUAA